AUCUACGGCCACAGAACCUGUAAAACGCCGCAUCCCGUCCGUUCUGCGCAGCUAAGUCAGGUAUCGCUCGAUUAGUGUCAAAGUGGGGGACCAUUUGGGAAACCCGAGUGCUGUAGUUA
rfam:Kwoniella mangroviensis CBS 10435 unplaced genomic scaffold supercont2.1, whole genome shotgun sequence.